GUGAUGGGGCGGGAGCUGGUUAAUCGGCUUCCCUCUUGCUCAGCUGAAAGUUUUUCUCUUUUUCCUUUUUUACCCAAUAAAUUGUUAUUCUCACCCUUCUAUGUGUCCACGAACCUAAUCUUUCCUGGCCAUGUGACAAGAACCUGGUUUUAGCUGAACUGAGAAGAAAGCCCUGCAACAACAUCUGGUGUGAUAGACUGAACCAUGCCUCCAGGAAGCAAAUCAUAUCCGAAGUAAGAUGCACUCCUUAGAUUUUGAAAGCACUGCAUAAUCACUCUCCACACCUCCAUGCACUUCUAUAAAAAAUGACUCUAUUUCAUUUCUCCCUGUUCUCUUACAUUGUAAAAAAUAUUUUAACCAUGUGAUAAAUCCAGUGAAUAAACAGUGGUGUAAUAUCAAACAAAUCAGUAAGUAAAUACAGUGGGAUAAAAUGAGUAAGAUAAUUUAUUAAUUUUUUUAUUAAUUAAACUAAAUUUUAAAUGUUUGUUUAUAAAACGAAUAUUUUUAACACCUAAUAUGUUUUGUAUUCUAUUUUAGGCAUUGGGGAUAUAGUGGUAACCAUGUGGACAUGUUUCCUACUUACAUUAUUGUGGCAUGGAGAGGCAAGAGAAAGACCAUACACAGCUAAACAAAUAAAGGAAUAAGAUAAUUUCAGAUAAUUAGUGAAAUGGAGAAAAUAAAACAUGUAAUAUAGCUCAAAGGAGGAAUAUUUAGAUUGGAUGGGCAGGCCUGAGCAACACAGAACAAGCCAGCCAUGCAAGGUAAGAAGACAGAAUGUUUAUGUAAAGGAACAGUUAGUACACAAGGACUUGUGUACACUUAUAUUCAAG
rnacentral:lncRNA from 10 species